ACUAGAUCCAUAGCGAAGGGGGAGGAAAGACAGGAAGAUUGAAAAGUGCUAAUGUCAUUCAUGCGUAUCUUAAAAAAAACAAUCAUAAAAAAUAAAAUAAUGGAAUUGAUCAGAUAUGAUUUUUAGUGAAUUUUAAGGACCCCCUUAGUGUACCUGGAAUUCUUCCUAUUACUAUUGAUCUUACACAGUUUAAAUAGGAAUUUUCAGCUAGAUGCUUUUGAAAUUAAAACAAUUAAGUCGUAUUUACAUUUUUUUCGCUGCUGCAUAAAAAUAUACUGUAUGUUCAUAUGAGAUUAAACUUCAAUGUUACAUGUAAAGCAG